rfam:Dipodomys ordii contig_5137, whole genome shotgun sequence.
GGGAAGGUGACUUAGUGGUAGAGUGCUUGCCUUGCAUGCAUGAGGUCCUGGGUUCGAUUCCUCAGCACUACCU